UUUGACCUGCUCUUACCAGUCCAAUCUUCCUCUUCUUUCCUCCCCAGCUCUCUCGGACAGUUUCUGACCUGACCACCCUCAUGUACCUGAAAGAAGCAGAGCUUCAAUACUGCCACUCACAAUGGUGUCGUUUCACCCAUCGGCUCAACAAGCACCUCCGUAGAACGAUGCUGCGACCAGGUGAGCAGACCAACUCCUGGAUGACUGGUAGGCCUUCAAAGAACCAGUAACUGCCAUACAGAGUAAGACUUCCAAUAGCCUUAAAUUAUCCUCAUUGGGGGGUUGCUAUUGUAGUUCUGAUUGCAUACUCUAAUCAC
rnacentral:lncRNA from 1 species